UAGGGAAUCUUCGGCAAUGGGGGCAACCCUGACCGAGCAACGCCGCGUGAGUGAAGAAGGUUUUCGGAUCGUAAAGCUCUGUUGUAAGAGAAGAACGUGUGUGAGAGUGGAAAGUUCACACAGUGACGGUAACUUACCAGAAAGGGACGGCUAACUACGUUCCAGCAGCCGCGGUAAUACGUAGGUCCCGAGCGUUGUCCGGAUUUAUUGGGCGUAAAGCGAGCGCAGGCGGUUUAAUAAGUCUGAAGUUAAAGGCAGUGGCUUAACCAUUGUUCGCUUUGGAAACUGUUAAACUUGAGUGCAGAAGGGGAGAGUGGAAUUCCAUGUGUAGCGGUGAAAUGCGUAGAUAUAUGGAGGAACACCGGUGGCGAAAGCGGCUCUCUGGUCUGUAACUGACGCUGAGGCUCGAAAGCGUGGGGAGCAAACAGG
rnacentral:rRNA from 1 species